rnacentral:rRNA from 1 species
GUAGUCAUAUGCUUGUCUCAAAGAUUAAGCCAUGCAUGUCUAAGUAUAAGCAAUAUAUACUGUGAAACUGCGAAUGGCUCAUUAAAUCAGUUAUCGUUUAUUUGAUAGUACCUUACUACUUGGAUAACCGUGGUAAUUCUAGAGCUAAUACAUGCUAAAAACCCCGACUUCUGGAGGGGUGUAUUUAUUAGAUAAAAAACCAAUGCCCUUCGGGGCUCCUUGGUGAUUCAUAAUAACUUAACGAAUCGCAUGGCCUUGUGCCGGCGAUGGUUCAUUCAAAUUUCUGCCCUAUCAACUUUCGAUGGUUAGGUCUUGGCUAACCAUGGUUUCAACGGGUAACGGGGAAU